rnacentral:rRNA from 1 species
GAUGAACGCUGGCGGCGUGCCUAAUACAUGCAAGUCGAGCGAACAGAUAAGGAGCUUGCUCCUUUGACGUUAGCGGCGGACGGGUGAGUAACACGUGGAUAACCUACCUAUAAGACUGGGAUAACUUCGGGAAACCGGCGCUAAUACCGGAUAACAUAUUGAACCGCAUGGUUCAAUAGUGAAAGGCGGCUUUGCUGUCACUUAUAGAUGGAUCCGCGCCGUAUUAGCUAGUUGGUAAGGUAACGGCUUACCAAGGCAACGAUACGUAGCCGACCUGAGAGGGUGAUCGGCCACACUGGAACUGAGACACGGUCCAGACUCCUACGGGAGGCAGCAGUAGGGAAUCUGCCGCAAUGGGCGAAAGCCUGACGGAGCAACGCCGCGUGAGUAAUGAAGGUCUUCGGAUCGUAAAACUCUGUUAUCAGGGAAGAACAAAUGUGUAAGUAACUGUGCACAUCUUGGCGGUACCUGAUCAGAAAGCCACGGCUAACUACGUG